AGAGUUUGAUCAUGGCUCAGAUUGAACGCUGGCGGCAGGCCUAACACAUGCAAGUCGAGCGGUAACAGGCCCUUCGGGGCGCUGACGAGCGGCGGACGGGUGAGUACUGCAUAGGAAUCUACCCGGUAGUGGGGGAUAACCUGGGGAAACUCAGGCUAAUACCGCAUACGUCCUACGGGAGAAAGCAGGGGCCUUUUGGCCUUGCGCUAUCGGAUGAGCCUAUGCCGGAUUAGCUGGUUGGUGAGGUAAUGGCUCACCAAGGCGACGAUCCGUAGCUGGUCUGAGAGGAUGAUCAGCCACAUCGGGACUGAGACACGGCCCGAACUCCUACGGGAGGCAGCAGUGGGGAAUAUUGGACAAUGGGGGCAACCCUGAUCCAGCCAUGCCGCGUGUGUGAAGAAGGCCUUCGGGUUGUAAAGCACUUUCAGCGAGGAAGAACGCCUGGCGGUUAAUACCCGCCAGGAAAGACAUCACUCGCAGAAGAAGCACCGGCUAACUCCGUGCCAGCAGCCGCGGUAAUACGGAGGGUGCGAGCGUUAAUCGGAAUUACUGGGCGUAAAGCGCGCGUAGGCGGCGUGAUAAGCCGGUUGUGAAAGCCCUGGGCUCAACCUGGGAACUGCAUCCGGAACUGUCAGGCUAGAGUGCAGGAGAGGAANGUAGAAUUCCCGGUGUAGCGGUGAAAUGCGUAGAGAUCGGGAGGAAUACCAGUGGCGAANGCGGCCUUCUGGACUGACACUGACGCUGAGGNGCGAAAGCGUGGGUAGCAAACAGGAUUAGAUACCCUGGUAGUCCNCGCCGUAAACGAUGUCGACCAGCCGUUGGGNGNCU
rnacentral:rRNA from 1 species